CCAGCCUUUGCUGCUUCCCUUAAUCAAGGGAAAUCCAGCCUUCCUCGCCUUUAAUUGGGAACCAUUCUCAAGAUCGGCCACACCCGUGUUCUCUGAUCGUUGGGAUAAAUGCAUUCCGGUAGCUCUCCGCUUUAUUUUGUGAUGGUCGAUUGAUGACUUUUGAAGAGCUAAUUAGCAAAUAUUCUCUCUCUCAGACACACUUCCUGCAAUAUCUUCAGGUUGAUUGAAAUGCAGAAGCAUAAGAUCAUACGAAAAUAAGGAAGGGCCGAGCUCGAAGAAGCGGCCGUGGCUGGAGGCCGACAAGGCCUCCGGCUCGAGUUCGGCGGCGGGCGGUGCCAAGGCAGCUAGUGAGAACAAACUGGAGGAGAGGCUGUACUCGGUGCUGUCGCGAGAUCGAAGAAGAUGGAGGUGCAUAGUCGCCAACCCCGGAUUUGGAACGGCACCCACUGACUGACUGAUACACGUAUAUACGUCACCAUAUACAACCCUGAGAUUCAUUUUCUUGUGGGCAUACUCAAGAAAUCCAUAGAAUAAUAACUAUAAUAGGAUCAAUGGAAGACUUCCCAACUAGGGUGUUCAACCAGACUGCAGAAGACAGCAAACUGUGCAAGGCAAAAAAGAAGAAACAAUAAUAAUGUGAAUUAAUAAGCAAUAAACAUUGUGAGAUGAAGAGUCCGUGAAAGUGAUUCCAUAGGUUGUGGGAGCAUUUCAAUGAUGGGGCAAGUGAAGUUAUCCAUUUUGGUUUAAAAGCCUGAUGGUUGAGGGGUGAUAAUUGCUCCUGAACCUGGUGCUGAGAAUCCUGAGGCUCCUGUACCUUCUUGCUGAUGGUAGCACUGAGGAGAGAGCAUGUCCUGGGUGAUGGGGGUCCCUGAUAAUGGAUGUUACUUUCCUGUAACAGCGUUUCAUGUAGAUAUGUUCAAUGGCUGGCAGGGUUUUACUUGUGUUGUGGGCCGAAUCCACUACUUUUUCUAGGAUUUUCCGUUCAAGGGCAUUGGUGUUUCCAUACCAGGCUGUGAUGCAACCAGUUACUAGACUCUCUACUACACAUCUACAGAAGAUUAUCAAUGUUUUGGAUGUCAUGCUAAAUCUUUGCAAACUCCUGAGGAAGUAGAGGCACUACAGUGCUUUCUUUGUAAUUGGCCCUACAUGCUUGCCCAGGACAGGUCUUCUGAAAUAAUAACACCUAGGAAUUUAGAUUUGCUAACCCUCCUCACCUCUGAUCCUCCAAAGAGGCCUGGCUGAUGGACCUCUGGUUUCCUUCUCCUGUAGUCCACAAUCAGUUCCUUGGUCUUGCUGACAUUGACUGAGAGGUUGCUGUUACGACACCACUCAGCCAGAUUUUUAAUCUCCCUCCUAUAGGCUGAUUCAUCACGACCCUUGAUUCAGCUUACGAUAGUGGCAUCAUCUGCAAACUUGAAUAUGGCAUUAGGGCUGUGCUUACCCAUACCACUCCAGAUCAAGUGUAAAGCAGGUAGAGCAGGGGGCUCAGUACACAGCCUUGUGCUGCACCUGUGCUGAUAGAGAUCACGAAGGAGAUGUUGUUGCCAAUCUGACGUGACUGGGGUCUGCAAGUGUGGAAGUCGAGGAUCCAACUGCACAAAGAGGUAUUGAGCCCAGGUCUUGGUGCUUAUUGAUUAGAUUUGAGGGGAUGAUGGUAUUGAAUGCUGAGCUGUAGUCGAUAAAGAGCAUCCUGGUGUAUGCACCUUUGCUUCCAGAUGUUCCAGGGUUGAGUGAAGAGCCAAUGAAAUGGUAUCUGCUGUGGACAUGUUGCUCCAGUAGGCAGAUUGGAGUGGAUCUAAGUCACUACUAAGGCAGGAGUUGAUAUGGUUUAUCACCAACCUCUCAAAACACUUCCUCACAGUGGAUGUAAAUGCUACUGGGCCGUAGUCAUUGAGGGAGGUCACCAAGCUCUUCGUGGGCACUGGUAUAACAGAAGCCUGCAUGAGGCAGAGGGGUACCUCACACUGCCGAUGCGAGAGGUUGAAGAUCUCAGUGAACACACCACUGUUGUGAAACUUGUUGUUUUAUGACAGCGGUACUGCGUAUGACAGGGGUCCCCAACCUUUUUUGCGCUGCGGACCGGCUUAAUAUUGACAAUAUUCUUGCAGACCGCCUGACCCGGCAGGGAGGGGUGGGGGGUAGGGUUGCCAACACACAAGAGUAGCAGUCAAAUACGUUGGGUUUACCCCGAGAAAGACUACCAUGACCAUGAAGCCUUGCGCGGGCACCAGUGCGCAUGCGUGUUCAUGCUGAUUUUUUUCCAGAAAUCGUUUUUGGCGAUUCUGUUGGGGAGUUGGGGGGGCAGUGUUAAUCACGACCAGAACAUAGGUGGUAAGUGGCUAAUACACUCAAUUUUGUUCCUAAAAGGGUUUAUCUAACAAAUUUAAUAUUAAACACACAGCGCAUAUUUUCCUCGCAUGAAUAUAGUGAUAAGUCAAUUAUCAGAGGAGGACAGGGGAGCUUGAAGUAAGUGUUGAACAAACUUCCAGUAGAAGUGGUAGAGGCAGGUUCGAUAUUAUCAUUUAACGAAAAAUUGGAUAGGUAUAUGGACAGGAAAG